rnacentral:rRNA from 1 species
UACGGAGGGUGCAAGCGUUAUCCGGAUUCACUGGGUUUAAAGGGUGCGUAGGCGGGCAGGUAAGUCAGUGGUGAAAUCCCCGGGCUUAACUUGGGAACUGCCGUUGAUACUAUCUGUCUUGAAUAUCGUGGAGGUGAGCGGAAUAUGUCAUGUAGCGGUGAAAUGCUUAGAUAUGACAUAGAACACCCACUGCGAAGGCAGCUCACUACACGAUAAUUGACGCUGAGGCACGAAAGCGUGGGGAGCAAACAGG